GAAGUUCGCCAGACAAUCGCUGCCAAUGUUUACAUUGGGGGAGGAAAGUCCGGGCUCCGUAGGGCAGGAUGCCGGCUAACGGCCGGGCGUUGAAAGACGACGGAAAGUGCAACAGAGAGCUGAACCGCCGAUGGCCUCGAAAGAGGAUCAGGUAAGGGUGAAAAGGUGCGGUAAGAGCGCACCGCAGUCGUGGCAACAUGUACUGGCAGGGUAAACCCCAUCCGGAGCAAGACCAAAUAGGCAGGCGUUGAAGGGGCCCCCCGAGUCUGCGGGUAGGUUGCUUGAGCCUGUUAGCAAUGACAGGCCUAGAGGAAUGAUUGUCAGUUUAAUGUGUCGUAAGAUGCAUUGAAUUACAGAACCCGGCUUAUCGGCGAACUUCUUUU
rnacentral:RNase_P_RNA from 1 species